ensembl:rRNA 5_8S_rRNA 5.8S ribosomal RNA
GACUCUUAGCGGUGCAUCACUUGGCUCCUGGGUCAAUGAAGAACGCAGCUAGCUGCGAGGAUUAAAUUAAUCCUUUGCAGGACACAUUGAUCAUCCAUGCUUGGAACAUACUUGUAGCCCCGGGUUCCUCCCAAGGCUACCGCUGUCUGAGCGUUG